GCCUGGCUAGCUCAAUCGGUAGAGCGUGAGACUCUUACUGUAUCUCAAGGCUGUGGGUUCAAGCCCCACGUCGGGCU
rnacentral:tRNA from 2 species